UGCUGAGGGACAGUGCAAAAGGCCUCUUACUGUAACUUUGGUAAAGGUCAUUUUCCCCCCAAAUGACUGAAAUCUGAUUAAAAGCCUAGCUCUGGAGUUCUCCAUCCUUGUACACACACAUACGCAGCUACCCGGCAGCGGAGCCCUGACACCAAAGAUCACACUGAAUCAUAAAAGAAAUAACCACAGAGAAAUCAUCAGUGACUCAACAAGACACAUGGUGCUGUUCCCAGGCUAGCAGGUUUCUUUACAGCCAGGUGCCGUAACGGCAGGGCUUUGUUUGAGCACCGUCUCACCACCAUCCCACCACCGUCCAGAGGUGCCUCCCCAGCUGGUGGAAGCCCUGCCCCGUGAGGACGGGCCACUGCCCGGGCUGCCAUCGAUCGGCUGGGGAGGAGGCAUACUGGGGCGCUGGCUGAAUACUCGCUCUUGGACAUGGGCACUAAACAUGCUGAGGAAGAAGAUGCUGGGCAGCCACCAGAGGACUUAAGCCUAUAAAUGGACUUUAUGCCUAUAAAUGGAAUGGGUGUUACCACAUUUCAGGAAACAGCAACUAAGAUUAACAGCUGCAAGAGGAUUCCAUGAAAGAUACAUUAUCUUUUCCUCCAAAGCUACUGCUAGAUAUUAAUUAGUAGACUCUGCUUUCUGGAUUUAUGCUUAACAAAGAUUCCAGAGUUUUGCUUUCCCACAGAUUUAGGGGGCAGCUUAAUGGAAAAAGUGAAUGUAAUUCGAUCUUUCAGAAAUGAUUGUGAAGAAAAAAAACAUGUAAUAAAAUCUCAUCAAGUUCAAAGACA